CCCUUAGAUGUUCUGGGCCGCACGCGUGCUACACUGAACGGUUCAAUGGGUAUGGUAGUGCGAAAGCAUGACCUAAUCUCGAAAUCCGUUCGUGCUGGGGAUAGAAGCUUGCAAUUAUCCUUCUUGAACGAGGAAUACCUUGUAAGCGUGAGUCAUCAUCUCACGCUGAAUACGUCCCUGCCCUUUGUACACACCGCCCGUCGCUCCUACCGAUUGAGUGUUCCGGUGAGGCUUUGGGAGAAUGGCCUCAACAUGAGUUUAUCGUGUUUUGCCGUUUGAACUUAGUCAAACCUUAUCACUUAGAGGAAGGAGAAGUCGUAACA
rnacentral:rRNA from 1 species